UAAUACAUGCAAGUCGAGCGAGCGGAACCAACAGAUUUACUUCGGUAAUGACGUUGGGAAAGCGAGCGGCGGAUGGGUGAGUAACACGUGGGGAACCUGCCCCUAAGUCUGGGAUACCAUUUGGAAACAGGUGCUAAUACCGGAUAAUAAAGCAGAUCGCAUGAUCAGCUUUUGAAAGGCGGCGUAAGCUGUCGCUAAGGGAUGGCCCCGCGGUGCAUUAGCUAGUUGGUAAGGUAACGGCUUACCAAGGCGACGAUGCAUAGCCGAGUUGAGAGACUGAUCGGCCACAUUGGGACUGAGACACGGCCCAAACUCCUACGGGAGGCAGCAGUAGGGAAUCUUCCACAAUGGACGCAAGUCUGAUGGAGCAACGCCGCGUGAGUGAAGAAGGUUUUCGGAUCGUAAAGCUCUGUUGUUGGUGAAGAAGGAUAGAGGUAGUAACUGGCCUUUAUUUGACGGUAAUCAACCAGAAAGUCACGGCUAACUACGUGCCAGCAGCCGCGGUAAUACGUAGGUGGCAAGCGUUGUCCGGAUUUAUUGGGCGUAAAGCGAGCGCAGGCGGAAAAAUAAGUCUAAUGUGAAAGCCCUCGGCUUAACCGAGGAACUGCAUCGGAAACUG
rnacentral:rRNA from 1 species